rnacentral:misc_RNA from 1 species
GAUGAAGAACGUAGCGAAAUGCGAUAAGUAGUGUGAAUUGCAGAAUUCAGUGAAUCAUCGAAUCUUUGAACGCAUCUUGCGCUCCCUGGUAUUCCGAGGAGCAUGCCUGUUUGAGUGUCAUCUAAAUCCUCAAACCACAUUGAUUCUUUCGGUGUGGCUUUGGAAGUGGGGGUAGUGUUUGCAGGUUUUAUCUUAAGUCUGCUCCCCUGAAAUGCAUUAGUGGUAUCUGAGCAGAAGGAACUACUACAGGUGUGAUAAUUUAUCUAUGCCUUAGUAUACUGCAUAAAACAGAUUACACUGCUUAUAACAAACUUUAUUUCUUUUUUUUGGAGACCUCAAAUCAGGUAGGACUACCCGCUGAACUUAAGCAUAUCAAUAAGCGGAGGA